AGCUGUCCGUUUUAACGUGAUCUCUUCAUGUUUUCCUCUGUCAAGGUGUCUGUGUUGAACAUACGCCCCUUCUCUGCUGAUAUUAGAAGACCAAAUCCACAGACCACCAACAUGUCUGCCCAAAGCUUCUCAGUGGGUAAACCACAUCCUCCUGUCUCCCUGGUAACAGAAAGAAAACCUGUCAACUCCGAUACUGCACCAGAAGAACAGGAAACCACCAUGAUAGGAUCGUGCCUUAGCGGGAUUUCCAGGACUGAAUCGUCCACCCAGCGUCUGAUGGGCCCAGGAGCAUCUAGUUCUUCACUAAGGGAGUGUCUGAUCAUCACAUCUCUGCAGCAACAAACCAAGAAGAUACCAGAUCCCCCAGCAGCUCUAUGACUAGUAAGAGAC